rnacentral:rRNA from 1 species
UACGUAGGGGGCAAGCGUUGUCCGGAAUUAUUGGGCGUAAAGAGCGUGUAGGCGGUCCGGUAAGUCAGCUGUGAAAGUCAAGGGCUCAACCCUUGAAUGCCGGUUGAUACUGUCGGGCUAGAGUCCGGAAGAGGCGAGUGGAAUUCCCGGUGUAGCGGUGAAAUGCGCAGAUAUCGGGAGGAACACCAAUGGCGAAGGCAGCUCGCUGGGACGGUACUGACACUGAGGAGCGAAAGCGUGGGGAGCGAACAGG